CAUGACCUGAGCCAAAAUGAAAAGUCAGACACUCAACCAACUGAGCCACUCAGGUGCCCCAAGAUAGUCAUUCUCUUGGUUAGUUUACAUUAUAGGACAAAGGUGUUGGAAUAGUUGUUCUAGUGGUCGUGUUGCCUUUGUAAGACUCCACUGUAGCCAACUUGAGGAAGAUUCUCCUGCUGGCUGUGAAGAAGAUGCUCUGUUGUGAAAGUGCCAUGAGCUAGACCCUGAAGGCAGCUUCUAGGAGCUGAGAGUGAUCCCAGUUGACAGCCAGCAAGAAAACAAGGACCUGAGUUCUGCGACCAUAGGCUCUGAAUUCUGCCAACCGCCUGAAUGAGGAUGGAAGAGGAUUCUGAGACUCCGAUAAGAUCCCAGCCCCAGCAGACAACUUGAUUUCAGUCCAAUGAGACCCUGAGGACAGGGCCUAACUGACAGUGAAUCUCCCUUCCCUAUGGAAGCACAUAUGUGUGAACUACCACCUGCUGUUUUUUGUGACAACUUUUGUAUGCUGCGUUAAGCCCGCUUGACUGAAUCCUCAAUAGCCCACAGCCUGGUCUUGUUCGUGGCCCAGAAGAAAUAUUAGAGUGUACAGAAAAAAAAUAGGAAAGUAUGGAGACUAAAGAUCAUCCAUAAUCUCCAAAUGCAAAGACUGAUUCAUUCAUUCAUUCUGUCAAUGUUCACUACAAAAGACCACCAGGAACACAGCUGGAAUUGAGAUCACUCUGGCUGUGGGAGGACAGCAGGCGAGAAGCGUGAUAUAAGGCAGGAGACCAACUAAAAUACAAUUUUAUUAGUCCAGUUCUGGAGGCUGGGAAGUCCAAGAUCAAGGUGCUGGCUGAUUCAGUUCCUGAUGAGGAUGCUUUUACUUACUUGCUGUCUUCUUGCUGUGUUCUUAUAUUUGAGUACCUAGCGCAGUGCCUGAAAAAUAGAAGGAACUUAAAAGUAUGCUGCUGAAUGGAAGACUAAAUGAAUGGAGGGAACAGUCAACUGGUGGUGUUGGAAGUACAGAAGAUAAUAGGAUGGUACAAGUUCAGGAAGAUUUUCUUAGAGUUGUUUAACUCUGCUUCAGCAAAAUUCUACUUCAACAAAACUCUUAGAAGAAUGAAGGCUUGAGUUGCCAAAGCCCAAACUUGAGGACUGGCUAUCCCUCUAUGUUUCCAUCAGGCUCUGCAUUUAGUUACAGAUGGAAGUUGGUUGUCUUAUCUCCAACAAAGACUGCAAGAGUGGGAUGUGUCCUUCUGGCUCUUUGUAAUCAGGCUUUUUGUGACUGGGGAUGCUGGUUGCCCAUAUGACAUUAAAAUUUUUUCAGUCUCUGUACUGGGGGUAAAAAUAUGAGCAGAAUUUGAAUUUGAAAAUUACUUCUUCCUACAUUGAGUGGUGUGAUGGUGUAUGUUCUUCUACAAUAGACACUCGCUCAACACUGUAUAUUUGAAAUAACUCCCUUCUGGAGGAAGGUAGAGAAGAAGUGUGUGGAAGUUAUAUAUCUUUGACAGAAACCACACUCUCCCUACACUGAGGAGAGUCCACUGGUACCUAAGCAUUGAUCUCGAGUACUCCACACACCAGUUGGGCAGGGUUUUUAGGAACCACAAACCCAUUAACAUUCCCUGAUCCAACUUUUGAAAACAAACGAAA